rnacentral:rRNA from 1 species
UACGGAGGGUGCAAGCGUUGCUCGGAAUCAUUGGGCGUAAAGCGCACGUAGGCGGUCCAGCACGCGGGGAGUGAAAGCCCUCGGCUUAACCGAGGAAGUGCUUUCCGAACUACUGGACUUGAAUACUGAAGAGGAUCGCGGAAUUCCCGGUGUAGAGGUGAAAUUCGUAGAUAUCGGAAGGAACACCAGUGGCGAAGGCGGCGAUCUGGGCAGAUAUUGACGCUGAGGUGCGAAAGCGUGGGGAGCAAACAGG